rnacentral:lncRNA from 1 species
GGCCUGGCGCGUCCGCCGAGCGCGGGGGUUUGUUUAUUUUCCCGGUUGGUAGCGGCGCUGGCGCUGGUUAGAGGUUCGCCGGUGACGUGAGCGCCCGAGUUGGGGGAGAGGACCAGAACCACCUGCUGGAGAAAGGGAGCUACGGGGGCCGGGCAGGGUCCAAACGCCUCACGUGGGCGGCGGCGCCACGGUCUUCGGGGUCACAGGGAAGAGAAGGGCUCUCCUCAAGCGGGUGGAAGGAGGGAGGCCUCCCGAGGGAAUGAGACUCCAGGCCACUCCCCCGCAGCAAGGCAGGAUCACCUGCGUCGCGGAGAGCAGUUAGAGGUCCCUGGAGUGGAAAAGGGCAGUGGGACCUGGUAGCUUGGGUUCCCUGCAACUUGGGGUUCGACCUCCAGGCAAUGAAGUAGGGAUGGUCCUGCAAGUCAAGAUUCCAGUAGCAAGAGUGCAUCAGAUCUCUGUAAGGAAAAUAACUAACAUUGCUCAGUUCCCUGUAGAGUUGCAGGGCGCUUUGACGUUAUCUCCCUUGGUUCUCCAUCAGGUCGUAGUGGACUAAUUUUACAGGCGAAGUUAAGUGACUUACCCAAAACCUCACAGCUAAUAAACGGCAGAGCCGGCACCCAGCUGUACUGGCUUCCAGCGCAUCCCAUUAUCUCCAUAAAUCCCCCUGAUUCAACUAAUAUUAGACGCCCCACAGGUAAGAUGCUUCAGAGUUAGAGGGGAGUUGAAGAUACCUUUGCCUUCAAAGAAGUAAGGAAUGAAACAAAGAUAAAACAGACAAUAAAAGACAAACCAUGAUAGGUGCCACGUGAAAAGUGGCAGAGUACUGCCGGGAAUCAAAGAACCGUGUAUAUCUGUCUUGGGGAUAAGGAAAGAAACGCAGCAUGAAGGAGUAGGCAUUUGGGAUUGACCUUGAAGGAGACAGGGAGAGUUUUACAGCAAGAAGGGAUAGCAUGAGAAUAUAUAUGAAGGCGAAUCAGUGAAAGUUGUGUUGGGGAAAGAGCAAAGACUCCAGGUAUGUUGAGAGGUAGAAAAGACAAAGGAGUAUGGGGCCUAAGAUACCAAAUGGAUGAAUUUAUAUUUAAUUCAGUAUUUUGAGUUUUUAUGGUUCAGAAGUUUGGGGGAAGAAAAGGAAGGUUUUUUUUUUCUUUAUGCUAGUGAUUUAUCUGUGAAGGGAAGCAGAAAUCAGAGGUGGAAAAACUGACAGAUCUACUGUAGGCCAGGUAAAAGGUAAUGAUGAGUCUGACCUAAAGGGACAGCCAGGGGAAUUUAAAGAGCAUAGUUGAGAGAUGAUGUGCAUGCAGAAUCUAUAGAAUUUGCUAACUGAUUGAUUAAUUGUGGGUAGGAAGAGAGAAAUCAAAGAAAGUGGAGGUUUUGAGUUUCUAGAUAAUUGCAAGAGAGAAAAGAGACAAUUACAAAGGAAAGGAGAAGGAGCUACUUCUUGAGAGAAGAUCAGUUUAGAUUUAGACAUUUUAAGAAUUCAAAGGGUUGUCAAGACAGCCAGACGGACAUGGACACUAAUAAGUUAGAAAUAAAGGUUUUGUAAUAUGGGAAAGAGGACUGAGCUAGAAAAUAGACUCAUAGAUAAUCAGCCUAGGAGUGAUAUUGCUGUGAGAUAAAAGAAGAAAACAAAGUCAGAAUCUUGGAAAACACCCUCUUCAGAGUCUCGCUGCUCAAAACGUGGUCAGUGGCCCAGCAGCACUGACAUGAGGACCUUAGUUGGAAACUCAGAAUCUCAGGCUCCACCCCAGACCUGCUGAACCAGCAUCUUCAACUUAACAAGAACCCGAAGAGAUUUGUGCCACAUCAAAAAGUUUGAGAAGCUCUGAUCUAGGUGAGCCAAGCCAGCAAAGAAAGGGGGUGGAGCAGAAAAUGGGAGGAGAAUAGGGUAAUGCAGAAUCAUCAAGACAAGGUAAAUUGGACUUUCACAAAAACGGGGCUGGAAGGAGUGUUGCUCAACAAUAUCCAAAACCACAGAGGUUGAAAAGCACAAGGAAAGAAGGUAUGUUUGCACUUUGUGAUUAGGUAGUAGGGUCUUUAAGACCACAUUGUUCUCAUUGAAAGCCUGGGAAGAAAGAUCCCCUUUCUGGUCAAGGUUAGUCUAGGGAUCCAUCCCCUCUUCCCCAGUUCCCACGUAUAUGGGACAUGUCGAGAUAAGUAGAUAGAUUGGACAGUGGGAGAAAGUAGUUCUCUUCCAGUUGCUUCUAUUUUCUCAGCAAAGUGAGGAACAAGAUCAUUUUGGCAGACUGCUAAUUGUCCAUCAUAAUUUAGUCUCCCCUUCUCCCUGAAAACACAGACUGCUUUUCUCAGCCUCUCUUUCAGUUGCAUAUGGUCAAGUAUUAAGUUAUAGAACAUGAGCAGAUGUUAUGUCUGCCACUGUCAGGCCAAGGCGUUUACUUUGAGAGUACUUGUGCCUCUUUCAUACAUUUUCCUUUCUGCCAGCUGGACCCUGGACACGGUGACUCUGAUUCAAUUAUGCAGAUGACCACAAGCCUCUGGGGUUGGCAGAGCCACAAGAAAGAAGGUGCCUGGAUGAAGGAGAGCUACCCACUGACCUGGACACCCAAUUAUGUCAUAGGUGCUGCAAUCUAGAGACAAAAUAUUCCUUACACUGCCAGAUACUUGCAAACUAAGGGGAACGAGCUUCCCUCUGAAUGUUUAUGAAGGAGAGACCACUGUGUCAUCUGUCUUAGAGCUAUUGGAAUCCUGGAUCAUUGUGGGAAAUGAAAAGAACUGGUUUUUAGCAAGGAGACCAAGAAACUCUACUCCCUAGGGGCUAGCAAUGAGAGAAAGGAAGCCUUGAGUCUUUGAGCACAGGGUGACAGUUUGGGUCCUAUGUGAGAUGAUCAAAUCCACAGCAACAGAGGAAAGGACAAAAGGAAAAGGCAUCUUGCAUGUGAAUAACUCACAACUUUAAUUCAUGGAACAAAUUGAGAAAUAGUCUUUUGGGGGUUUGGUACUCCCUGGAAACAUAAGAGUGCUUUGGGCACCUCUGGUGCCUUUCCAUGCCUGCCUUCUCUGCUGUUCUUGCUACUAGUGAAUUCUAAAUCAUGGCCAAGUGAUGCCAGCACUGGAUAAUAUUGGCUCUGCCCCAUAUCUCGAGGGAAAACUCUGGGACUUGGCAUUAUAUGUGUGGGAAUCUGGCCUUGGUUGGCACUCCCAGCAUGAUAGCAGGGUUCUGCUGUCUGAAUGUACUCUGGGGUGUGCGCCACAAUUUCUGUCAUCGAAAUGGAGAUGAGAGAAUAUGCCCUUGGUGGGGACACCCCACUGGAAUUAGAGUGAAGAGAUCAAAGCUAGAGGUUCUUAAAUCAAAGAAUGUCUAAUAGCAAAGACAAAAACUUGCUUAAGAGAAAUGCAUACAGGUACUAGACCUAAUAUGAUGAAAAAUGCUAACUUCAACAUAUUGAUGCAUGCUUAGUAUACUUUUAGUCCUGCAAAGACAAAA